rnacentral:rRNA from 1 species
UUGCUGUAGUAUUUUGACUAUACAAAGGUAUUGAAAUAAGACUUUAAUUGAGUGCUAAGAGAAUGGAAAUACGGAAAAAGACUUUCUUAAACUUAAGAUUUAAAGUUAUUUUUAUUUGUGAAGAAACAAUAAUACAAAUUAGGGACAAGAAGACCCUAAGAAUUUUUAUUAAAAUUUAUUUUUAAAUUUAAAAAUAAAUUUUAAUUUAAUUGGGGCGAUUAAUUAAUAUUAUUAACUUUUUUUAUUUAAAAAUAUGAACCAUUAAUAAUGGUUAUUUGAGAAAAUACUCUAGGGAUAACAGCGUAAUAAUUUUUGAUAGUUCUUAUAGACAAAAUAGUUUGCGACCUCGAUGUUGGAUUAGGAUAUUUUUUUAAUGAAGAAGUUAAAAAAAAAAGUUUGUUCAACUUUUAAUUUCC